CUCCUCAUGUCUCUCCCGAGAGAGCCGUUUCCUUCCCCCUCGCUGCUUCGCAGUCCUGGCUGCAGAAGGCUGCUGCCUGCUCUGCAGGUGAAGGGUCUCCUUUUUUCGGCUGCUGGAAGUACUGCAGCUUUCAAUCGCAUUGCAGCUAGAUGCCCUGUUUCUUUAUUUCUGACAACUAGCCUGAUCCUUGAUUAGGUCUUAGCAUGAUGUAAAAUGUGGUCCCCAAAAUUGGAUUCCUAUCCUAUCUUUGAAAGAAAAUACAUUGCUGAAUGAAGAAAGACAAGUUAUUCCUGAGAUCUACCUUCUUCAAAAUAUCCUCUGCAUUUCUGAAAUCAUUUUAAAAUAAGAAUUAAAAUGCAUUCCAAUACUCGCUGGAGCUACACUCUGACAGCACGGGGAGCUUCAACGAGCAAAUGGGGGUUUCUAUCAGUCACAACCUCAGCAGUGUUGCAACAGUCCUGCUGUAAAACCCAGAUGCUAUCUUCAGUUCAUUUGAGCAGCAGGAAAAGAUUAUAACUGUCUGUGGAAGAGUAGCUUACCCUAAAUGGUUUAUCGAUCAGACAGGAGGUAUCAAUCACCCUGUGCUAGAUCCAUUUCUGGAAGCCGUAAUUUUGGAACAAAUUUUUUUGAUUAACCACAGAUAAAGCAGCACUGUUUCUUCUCUAGGGUAUGAAACUCGAUAGAUAACAUGUGGAGUAAUUUCAGGGCACAGUUCCAAGGGACCUUGGCUGCAUCAAGUGCAGGACAUUACUGAUGUGUUCUGGAAUUUGAUUUAGGGCAGGUUCUGGGAGAAUUUACCAAAGCUGAUGUCUGACAGCACACUGAGCCUGUGCAAAAGGAACAUGUGCCUCAUGUGUUCUGCUCCUUGGAUCAGCCAGUCUUGCCUUUGCCUGCUGAGCCUCCUAUUCCUCUUGUCCUCCUCUGCAUGUGACUCUCUCUGCUUUCUCAGGGUGAUUUAUUCUUUGAUGGUCACUGCCUGCAUGAAGCCCUGAUACAGCUGUUCUGGUUGUCCCUUCUUCUCAGAUACGGAGUGGGAGGAGGGAGAGAGGGAUGCUGAAAGUAGAGGAGUCUGUCUGUGUCUCCUUAUCCUGUUUUCCAAAAGUUGGAGUCUUUGAGCCCUUAAUACUAUCAGUUCCUAGGAAUUCCUCUCCUCUGAAUGAAUUGUAUUAUCCAGCCCAUGCAUGGGGAGGCUUUCGGGAGCAUCUUGCCUUUGAGCUUGUUAUUCCUGGAACUGCUCACGGCUAUAAAAAACCCAGUUUCUCAGUUUGCUGGUUGUUUUGGACCCACUCUGAUGGGCCUAAUUCUUUCCAUGAUCCUGUAAGAAGUUUCAGUACCUAACUCUGGGGGCAAUGUGCCCCAGCCUUAUUUUAUGGACUAUGAACUUUGUUCAGCAACACGUUGAAGAAUGUGAUUAAUUUUGAGUGUGUCUUAAAAUGAAUGCAUAUUUGAUGCUUUGAUGGAUAAAGGCCCAUGAAAGCAUAUAUUGGUUGUGGUUAGACCAGGUCUGGUCUACCCAUCUGCUGUAUUUAUUGCCCAGGUUUGGGUCGAUGCUCUUGUCUUGCCUCUGCUCACACGCUGAGGAAAGAUGUGUGUGCGUAUCAACCUGCCGCCUGCCUGCCUCUGCUGCACGAAGGUAACGGAGGCAUCACGGGUGCAUAGUGUGAAUGAUGAGAGAUCCUCAACUCUGGGACAAGCAGCAAAAGAUUAGAGGAGAUGCAACAGAUACCAGUGAGGGUAUUAGUGAUUAGUUUUUGCUUAUAAAUAAUUGAGAGACUGGGAAACGUGCAUCCUGGCUGUAUGGUUAAGUAAAGAAAAAAAUGUUAUCUUAUGGUUAAUAUGGAUGAAGCAGAAGUUUUUGUUAUUAACAUGAUCAGAAAAAUCAGAACUCAGUUUUUAGAACUUAAUAAGUUCUGUAAAGGACAACUCAUGUUUGUAGAGGACAGAACUCUCUUUAGCCAUAAAAAUUAUGUGGAGAAAAGAAAUUGAAUGAUACAGUUAUUACUGGGACAACUAAUUGCUUACUUCUGGUUGGAUAAGGCCUGUAAGUCUGAAUUCAAACUCCUUCAUUGAGGGAAACAUUUUUCAGAAACAUUUAGAGCUUCUUUUCUAAAACAAAGCUGUUAUAUAGAGAUUAUUUUUCUACCGUAUUAUACUUUUACUGCUGUACUGUUGCUUACUGUGAGCUGUUCAGCCUGUGCCUAUGUUAUCAGUAUUAAAAAAUGCACUAAAUUUUACAUCCUUUAUCCUUAGCCUGUCCCUCCCUCUCCCUAUCCCUUAAUCUCUGAUGGGGAAAAUUAAAAACAUAUAAGUAUAGUUUUUGAGAUGUCACAGUUGGCAGCUCAAGGAUUCAAGAGCAAAAGAUCUGAUAUAAAACUUAAGGAAGAAAGCAGCGACUGAAAAUAGUGACUCAGCCACACUGAGGACCAGCCUGUCCUGAGGUACCUCAGAGUCCUGCUCUGACCCACCUGGCUCUCUUUGCUGACCAGGCAAUGGUCUUAGCAUGUGUCUUAUCUGGGGUGGUGAACAUAAUAAUACGCAUUAAUGCUUAGUCUUGUACUGUUCUAGCUAUGUAGUUAAUUAUAUUAUUAAUUAAUAUCUAUUUUUAUACUCCUUUGUGCUGUUAUUGUCUGCAAAGAGUCUUUGCAAGGAAGAUAUGCAAAACUCAGAACUUGCCCAAGUGACCAGAGACGCAGGACAGCAGCAGCCAGAGCUGGUUUCAGGCUUGUGCGAGAGGAGGAUAGAUGAUCUGCCCAAGCUACCUAAUUUCACUGGCUGCUCUGAAGCAAGGUGCUUUGUGUGAGCACUCCUUGUCUGCCAGAUCUUCAGGAGGGACGAUAAACCCCAGCUGCUGAAGAUGGGGAGGGUGGGUAUCUUGAAACAGUUGCUACUUUUGCUGUUGUCAGCAUCAUAACUGUCUUACAAGCUGGUAAUUGGCCUCCUUCAUAGCUUUUACAAGAGUAACGUAGUUGGCUGUAAGUCAUACUUUUUCUUAUUUUAGGCUGAGUUUGUGUAUGCUAUUUGAUUCUAUUUUAAUUCAGUUUCUAGAUGCACUAAACUGCAGUGUGAAAGGACUUGGUUAAUCUGAACUAAAUGCCCAUCUGCAGACUUGUGGUGGGAAAAGGAUGUAUAAGUUAUAACUGCUGCAGCUGCAGUACUUUGGUUUAAGCUGGUAAGGAGGAACCACAAAAAGCAAUUGCUUAGAAGCACCUGCCAUGGUAUAAAAUGCCCAGAUGGAGAUCAUCACACUUAACAACUGGACUAUAGCAAGGGGGUUGUGUGAACACUUCUCAUCUGUUACAGCACAAAUUUAGUUGGCUUUGCUUAAGUUUCCCAUCAUCAGUCUUUGAAGUUUAGCUGAAGGCUGUUUAAGCGAGGGUGUCCUUGCAGCGAAGCAGAUGAGAAAUAUUCACCUAAUCUGCUGUGACAGGUCAGGAGGUGCUAGGUUGGGACUGGCUCAGGGUAUUAUGUCCUCAACUGUUUUAUCUAACUCCGUAGAAGGAUAUUCGACUGAUCUUUUUGCACUCAGAAAAUCAUUGUCUUUGUAUUAUUGAGUACAGAAGUAUGUUUUAAUUGUAGCUGGACUUGUGUAAUGUAUGUGUCUAGACAAAGCUAUCAAAUAUUCAGUUUUUUAAAAUUGUUACAAAUACCCUUAGCUCAUAUACAGAACUACACAGUGUACACAGUUUUACAGCCAUUUGUGGUUAAAAGGUCUCCACAUGCGAGUUUUAUGCAUUUAAUGUAAUGGAUUGGUGAAAUGGUUUGUUGGUUGAUGCAGCAUUUGCUCAUCAUAAGUAAAGGGAACAAGAGUAUGAAUUUUACAGCUCAAAUAUUGAUGACAGUGAUGAUAAUUGAAUUGAAACAUAUUUUUGAAAGUUCAUAACUAUAUUGAGAAGAUGCCAUUUGUCUGAGCUGCAGCUGAUGGUCUGGAUAGGUCACCAUUUAAAAACUGACUUCACAAAGUAUUCAUUAAAUUCUUGAAGAAUUUGGUGAUUCUUUCCAGUAGCACUUCUGAGCUGUCCCAGCAGAAAAAUGCUGCAUCAGUCAACCUGCAGCUUCACAGAAAAGCUUAAAGCCCAAAAAUGACUUGCUUGUAACAUGAUCUAAUAGCUAAACAUUUUUGUUUUUAAAUCAAAGCCAUUUUGAUAAAAUAAGAAACUCUUUUUUCCUUCUUAAAAGUGUGGAAAUGGAAAAGGAUUGAAAGUGAAAUCCCAGCCGUAGUGGUGAGGCUUUAUGAUACAGAUGUCGAACGCUGCUCUCAAAAAUCAGCUCGUUGCCUCGUAAAACCGUAAUGGGGGAUUAUUGUCUUUUACACCGAAAAAGCAAGCUGUUAUCUACAAUGCUGCUUUCCACAUUGUUGCUCCAGCUAAUGUUUUACUAAGUGCUAAAACAACUUUUACAGAUAUGCAGCCGUUCUCUAAAUCCCCAGUCUUGCAGAUAUUUUGUAUAUGUUUAACCUUAGGCGCACGAGGAACUGAUUUUAAUAGCUUGAAGACGAGCAAUUUAUGUUAUGUAAACAUUUUUACAGUUUUUCAGUGGGGGUCUUAAGGGACUUCAGUAGAAACACUGGUUUAUUGAAACAGAUGAAGAAUUCUGCUUUCAUCACGAUAAGAUCUUGUAAGAGUCGCGCGUCUGUCAGAAAUAGUGACACAAGCUGCACUGUAUUGGAACCUGUGCCAGCCAUUUCUUGUUAUAGUUUAAAUGAAGAAUGUUGCUUUUAUCAGAAAAACACACAUCUGUAGAACUGAAUGCCUUUUUUCCUCUUUGUGUUAUUUUACUUUGUUACAAUUUUGUUUGAUAUUUUAAUCUUUUUAUUCUCUCUGACAGUGGCUGUUCUUGAAACUUUCUCUUCAUGUACCUUACCAAUGUGCCAGUGUGCCUUACUCAUUUCUUCAUACCUAGGAUGCCUUGCUGAAGCGAGUUACACAUGUGAAUCACGCAGGAUAUAAAGUAAAAGUUGGAGCUCCUUUGGAGAGUAGGCUACAAAUAGCAGCAAGUUAGAGCUGGAUUCUCUGCAUUACGUAUCUUAACACCCUUGUAGGAUUUUCUCUUCUGCUUUUUCUUUAACAAACAUUUAAACAUAAAUCAAUUAUUUUUAAAUCUGUAAGUGUUGGAUCAAGAGGGAAUGUCCCCAUCAUUGGCUGAAUUUAUUGCUGGUUGCAGUUAUUUAGCUUUGGAUUUACCAAGGUUUAUGGCAGUGAUUCAGACUUCAAGAAGACGUAUGGAGGGGUCAGUAAGAUAUUAGAGAAUUAUGUUUUUCUUUGUUAGGUUUCCUGGGCAUUCAAUAGGAAAUUAAUGUCAGGUAUCUAGAUUUCACUUUGCUGUUUUAUCUCAAGAAUAGGAAUUUGGAGCCCGCUGCCACAGUAACAAGUUAUUGUGCUGGCCUGUCCUUUUGCAGUCUUUUCUCUGAAGACCUCACUGACUCGCUUGAAGAUCAAGCCAUAAAAGAGAGAGAGAGACAAAAUCCAGAGUAACUGUCUGCAUUAAAAUGGGAGCUUUACCACAGCUAUUACUGAAGUGACUGGAUGAAGGGCAGUGUAAAUAACUGUACUCCCUAGGAUGGAAACUAAAUAAGAGAUUUAGUCAUCACUGGAGUUGCGUGUGGAUCAAGAAAAUAAGGUUUAGAGGAGCGAGGCGAGUCCCCCUUUCUGCAGGCUCACUUAGCCAUGUAUGGCAAGUGUUUUGGUCCGGUGUCCUGCGGUGCUGUGGACAUUCCCGGCACGGAGACUGGAAGGAGGCGCACAGCUGGGCGGGCUGGGCAUGGGACGGGAUCUCUCGGCCUCGCCAAGGCGGCAGUAAAGCAAGCAUGCAUAUGCAAUGGCUUGUAGGUAAUUCCCUUUUUCUAACAUGGCCUGGGAAGAGAUACCUUCCCCCAAAGGUGGAGGGGAAUCUUUCCUCUAUCCCCGGCAAGUGCUGAGGGGCUGGAUUAGCCAUGGCAGUGGGACUGGCUGGGGCCGAAUGGCCCCGGCGCGGAGGGCUUCCUCUCCUGGGCUCCUGCCCCAGCAACCUGACUGUCACAGAAAUACCCUGUUUCCCUUGGCAACCCUUUCCAGGGCCAAAUUCAUUUCGGUUCUCAGCUUCCUCUUUCCCUUGGUCCUCUCCAUACCUCAGCCUCUCUUGAAUUCAGACGUGAGUCCUUAUUUUAAAAUAUUGCUAGACUGUGUAAUAAGAAGGUUUUGAGACCCGUUUUUUCUUCUAUUCCCAGUUUAUACAUGGAUUUAGCAGAAUCAAGGCCAGAAUGACUAAUUGAGUGAUGAUGGAAGAAUAAAAAAGUAAUCUGAAGCUUUCAAAAUGAUUCUGUGUAAGGAUUUUGUUGAUACCAUGAAUUUACUAUAACAUUUCUUCUUCUCGCUUUCUUGACCAGUGUUGUUAAGCCAUACUGAAAAUUCAUUUUAAAAUAUGUACUCGUUUUCUUCCAAUACUUCAAGUUUUUCCCGAGACAGAGUUUCCAUGGAUUUAAGUGGUAAUUUUGCUUGAGCAAAGAAUACUGGCAGAGUUCUUUAUUUCCUUAUUUUUAGUGAUUACAGUUGUUCAAAAUCUCAUUGUUUUGUUCAGUUCCUGUGAAAUUUGUUGAUUGCUCUCUUCUAUAACUUACUCAGAGAUUCUUUUCCCUUGUUUGCAUAGGUUUAUGAGCACACUAUUGCUUUUAUUCUUUGAGAGAGAUACUAUUUUAAUCUAUCUUGACUGCUGUCUAGACUUCUAGUCUGUGGUGAUAAAUAUAUUCUGCCAAUUUUCCAUGUGCAGUCUGAUAUUUCACUUUAACUUAUUUCUCACUUACUUUAAGGAUAUUAUUGUUACAUUAUGCAAGAUAAACUAGUUUUAUUGGUAAAGUACUCAGCUGAUAGGAGCUAGCAUAAUGUUUGAGGCUUUUUUAGUAUCAGUCUUUGAAAAUGUUGCCCUGCACAAAAAGCUUGUGGAGUGCAACAAAGGGAGGAUGUGUAAUGAAAGAUCAGCUCUGGUGGUGUCUUAAAUUUAGCAGCACGCUCUGGACUUCAAGGAAUCCUUUUCUGCAGGGAUCCAAAGGACAGGGCUCGUGUCUGAAAGCCUUAGUCAUGAUGCUUUUGCAGGUCUUAAUUCAUUUAAAAAAAAAACAAACCCAAACCAAAAAACCCACUAUGGUCAGCUGUGUGCCUCCGUUUAUGUGAUCCCAUCCUGGGCUCCCAGACUGAGUUAUGUGUUUGCCAGCUGUUUAAAAAUGGUAUGUAAGCACUGCUUGAACUGCCGACUUGCUGCCUCUUCUGAGCAUGUAUAGCAUGUCCUGCUACUGAAAGCAUACUUAAGCAUGCUGCCAAACAACUAAUAGAAAAAUAAGAAGCCUAGCUUCAGGUCUUUUGACUAAAGGUAAUUGAACCAACCUUCCAGGAGAAUGUCCUAAGGAAGUUAGUUUUUUCUUAAAGAUGUGCUACUUUGCAGAAAAGAAUUUGAGAUUCAUGGAGCAAAGAAACAUGGCUUAGUAUGUUAUCAUGUUAGUUAUUAUUAUAACUUAGUGGUUAAGGUGUCACUUUGUAGAGGAGGAGACCCAGGCACAGGUCACUGCUCCUAAAACCUUCUCUGCUUUGCUCAGUUUAAGUUUCUUUCUGAAACUCUUCAUUGUUAAUAAACUCACAUAUCCUUUUAAUUUCCCAAUCCAGUCAGGAACUUCCCAGAUUCUUUGAAUUAUUGCAGUUUUGUAAGGGUCACAGUUAUUCACAGACUGGGGUCGAAUGUAAUGAAUAGUUUCAUUCAGAGUGUCUGGGGAAAGAAACUCUACUUGAUAUGUGUCAAAAUGUUUCAGUAUUUAUUGGUUUUGAAAAUGACAUAUUCUUUGAAUAAUUGAAAAGGUUAAUAGAAGGGUUAAAUGCAAGGAAAAGUUACACUUUGAACAACUAAAUGUUUUGAUCCACCUCAAAAUAAUUUGGUAUUUUGUUUAUUUUCAGACUGAUCUUGCAAACAUUUUUUUCCCUUUGGUUUAGCCAAUGAACCAGAAAAUCAAUUAUUUUUGUAACUUUGGUUUAUUCCAGUAUCGCCAACUUUAAAACCUGAAAAUCCUCUAUUAGCAUAGCAUUAAUAUAUGUGUGGAGUUUGAUAGUCUUGUAUUGCUAGACUUUUUAAAAAUUAAUUUUAUUAAAUGUACAUUGCCAUGCAUUUCUGUUUAAAAGUCAUGGCUUCUGUUAAAUGUAAUUACUGUACUCUGCUAUUAUAGAGAAAGGCAGUCCUAUUAAAGUUAAUUACUUUUCCUAGUAAAAUUUACACAAUAAUGCCACAUGUUAAAAUAAUACUACUAUAUAAGGUUGGCAACUUUGCAAAAGCAGAUAUAAAGGAAUGGUGUGAGGUAGGGACAGUAAUAACUGAGAUAGUAUCUAAAGAAUGGUAUAUUCCAGCAUGGAUUACACAAAACAGGGAAAUUUGUAUUUUAUAUAAUUUCCUUCAAAAAUACAUCAAGUAGCUCUAAAUGUCUGAAUUUCUGUCUUUGCCAUCUCUGUGUAGAUAAGCUAGGUAACGGCUGAUUACAAAUUCUGAGCCAUCAGAAUUGUAUAUCAAAGCAAGGAAAUGAAGUCUUGGAAAUAAAAUGUUGCUCUGUUAAUUUUCUUCCAUUUAGCAUAAAACAUUUUUUAAUUGCAGGUCAUUUCACAUGAAGGGUGCUGUUGAACCUCUGAUUAUGAAUUUUAUACCCUUUUCUCCUAAAAUGUCUGUCAUCUAUGUUCAAAAGUUAAAUAAAGUAUUAGCAGAUAUAAUUAAAUGAGA